UACAGAGGGUGCGAGCGUUAAUCGGAAUUACUGGGCGUAAAGCGCACGUAGGCGGCUUUGUAAGUUAGAGGUGAAAGCCCGGGGCUCAACUCCGGAAUUGCCUUUAAGACUGCAUCGCUAGAAUUGUGGAGAGGUAAGUGGAAUUCCGAGUGUAGAGGUGAAAUUCGUAGAUAUUCGGAAGAACACCAGUGGCGAAGGCGGCUUCCUGGACCGACACUGACGCUGAGGCGCGAAAGCUAGGGGAGCAAACGGG
rnacentral:rRNA from 1 species